GCGCUUACUGCUGCGCUGCUGCUCGGUCAGCCAGCGUCUGGGAUGGGAGCGCUCCUGCAUUUUACAUGACUGCGGGGCCUGUUCCUUGCGCCUGUCUGGUCGCGUCACAUCAUGGAGGGUUUCUCGGGGCGGCCGGCCGCCUCUGAGCACAGCCAGGGUGGUGUUUGCAGCACAGCUGCUGCCUAGGCCUCGCUGCGGAGGUGCUGGGCCACGGCCCCGUGGAGGCAGAGCCGCAGGGCCAUCGACAUGUCCUUUGAAAACGGGCAUUUCCCCAACUCAUGCAGGUGGAGGGGAGAGCGAAGCCAAAUGGGACACCGGCCCCCACACACUGCCCCGGCUCCUGCAUUUCCGGAGAUGGAAACCUGGAGAGCAGCUGGGAUCUUGAAAACGUGGGUUGGACUGCGUCACCCCGACCCCUGCCUCAAAGCCCCUCCGUGGUUGCCUACAGCACAGCUUGAAGCCCCUUGGUUCUGCUUCCCGGGCCUGCAGCGCUGGCCCCAGCCUGGCCGAGCGAGCAUUUGUUCACCCAAGACCUUUCCCCUCCUGCCCUCGUGGAGCCUCCACAAGGAGUAAACAACCACUUCUACAGCGGACACGUAACACAGCCACGCGGCGUGAACAUGAGCAGACUUCUUUUUUCCAGGAUGUGCACGGUUUCCACGACAAUGCCCACUGCACGCCUUAUGGCCUCACCAGAGACGUAAAGCAGAUGCCAAGAAACUUCCCCCCAAAAUGGGCUGGCUUGCCAAGCCCAGGACCGCCUGUCCAGCUGGGGCUGGGGGCAAGGAUCCCAUUUUCUGUGACUCUCUUUGCUCUGAUGGUCAGGUUCACCGGCCGUACGUGUAAUCUGAAGCAUUCGGUAGCGAUCUAAUUAAAUGUUAACACAUCAUUAAAGUGAUUUGCGAUAAGCACA
rnacentral:lncRNA from 1 species